GAGUCAGCGGCAUGUCGCGAGGUUAACCCGUGUGUGUGGGGUAGUCGUAGCGAAAGCGAAUCCGAAUAGGGUGGCAAGUGGCAUGUCCUGGACCCGAAGCGGGGUGAUCUACCCAUGGCCAGUGUGAAGCAGCUGUAAGAGGUUGUGGAGGCGCGAACCCACUUAGGUUGAAAACUGAGGGGAUGAGCUGUGGGUAGGGGUGAAAGGCCAAUCAAACUCCGUGAUAGCUGGUUCUCCCCGAAAUGCAUUUAGGUGCAGCGUGAUGUGAGCUUGCCGGAGGUAGAGCUACUGGUUGGUUGAGCGGGACUAUCAUCUUAGCGACGUCAGCCAAACUCCGAAUACCGGUUAUAGUGGUGCAUUGCAGUGAGACUGUGGGGGAUAAGCUUCAUAGUCGAGAGGGAAACAGCCCAGAUCGCCGGUUAAGGCCCCUAAGGGUGUGCUAAGUGGAAAAGGAUGUGGGAUCGCGAAGACAGCCAGGAGGUUGGCUUAGAAGCAGCCAUCCUUGAAAGAGUGCGUAAUAGCUCACUGGUCGAGUGGUUCCGCGCCGACAAUUCAGUGGGGCUCAAGUACACCGCCGAAGCCGCGGCAAACAAUUUUGUUGUUUGGGUAGGGGAGCGUCGUGUGUGGGGUGAAGCCGUAUCGGAAGGAGCGGUGGACUGCAUGCGAGUGAGAAUGCAGGCAUGAGUAACGAAUGGCAAGUGAGAAUCUUGCCCGCCGGAUGACUAAGGGUUCCUGGGUCAAGUUCGUCUUCCCAGGGUGAGUCGGGUCCUAAGGCGAGGCCGACAGGCGUAGUCGAUGGUCAACGGGUUGAUAUUCCCGUACCCGUAUGUGCGCGCCCAGUAUCGAAGCGGUGAGACUAACCACCCUGAUCUGCCGAUCGUUGCCAUCCCUUCGGGGAUGGUUGGUUGGUGGUGAUGCGUGGGGCCUGAUCCGUGGUAGGUCAGUGAUGGGGUGACGCAGUGAGGUAGCUAAGCCGCUUAUUGGAUUGCGGUGCAAGCGUGUGGCACGACAACAUUGGUCAAAUCCGGUUGUCAUCAAGUGUGAGGCGUGAUGCGUAGCCCAUAUGUGGGUGAUGUUGGUGAUCCUGUACUGCCGAGAAAAGCCUCUAGCGAUGUGCAUGUACGGCCCGUACCCAUAACCGACACAGGUGGUCAGGUAGAAAAUACUAAGGCGAGCGGGUGAACUGUGGUUAAGGAACUCGGCAAAAUGCCCCCGUAACUUCGGGAGAAGGGGGACCACAACCGGUGACACACAUUCGUGUUGAGCUGGUUGGGGUCGCAGAGAAGAGAGGGGAGCGACUGUUUAUCAAAAACACAGGUCCGUGCGAAGACGGUUAAGUUGAUGUAUACGGACUGACGCCUGCCCGGUGCUGGAAGGUUAAGAGGACCCGUUAGGACAUUGUGUCCGAAGCGGAGAAUUUAAGCCCCAGUAAACGGCGGUGGUAACUAUAACCAUCCUAAGGUAGCGAAAUUCCUUGUCGGGUAAGUUCCGACCUGCACGAAUGGCGUAACGACUCCCCUGCUGUCUCAACCACAGGCCCGGUGAAAUUGCAGUACGAGUAAAGAUGCUCGUUUCGCGCGGCAGGACGAAAAGACCCCGGGACCUUCACUAUAGCUUGGUAUUGGCAUUCGGUGCGGUUUGUGUAGGAUAGGUGGGAGACUUCGAAGCAUGCACGCCAGUGUGUGUGGAGUCGUUGUUGAAAUACCACUCUGACCGUAGUGGAUAUCUAACCUUGGCCCAUGAUCUGGGUUGGGGACAGUGCCUGGUGGGUAGUUUAACUGGGGCGGUUGCCUCCCAAAAUGUAACGGAGGCGCCCAAAGGUUCCCUCAGCCUGGUUGGCAAUCAGGUGUGUAGAGUGUAAGUGCACAAGGGAGCUUGACUGCGAGACUUACAAGUCGAGCAGGGACGAAAGUCGGGACUAGUGAUCCGGCACCUACUUGUGGAUGUGGUGUCGCUCAACGGAUAAAAGGUACCCCGGGGAUAACAGGCUGAUCUUCCCCAAGAGUCCAUAUCGACGGGAUGGUUUGGCACCUCGAUGUCGGCUCGUCGCAUCCUGGGGCUGGAGUAGGUCCCAAGGGUUGGGCUGUUCGCCCAUUAAAGCGGCACGCGAGCUGGGUUCAGAACGUCGUGAGACAGUUCGGUCUCUAUCCGCCGCGCGCGUUGAAACUUGAAGAAGGCUGUCCCUAGUACGAGAGGACCGGGACGGACGUACCUCUAGUGUGCCAGUUGUUCCGCCAGGAGCACGGCUGGUUGGCUACGUACGGGAGGGAUAACCGCUGAAAGCAUCUAAGCGGGAAGCCUGUUUUAAGAUGAGGUUUCAUUUGAGGUUCCCAGGAGACUACUGGGUUGAUAGGCCGGACCUGGAAGCACAGCAAUGUGUGGAGGCGACCGGUACUAAUACACCAAUAAACACCA
rnacentral:rRNA from 1 species